rnacentral:tRNA from 1 species
GGGCCCGUGGUCUAGCUCGGAUUAAGACGCUGGCCUGCGAAGCCGGAGAUCCGGGGUUCAAAUCCCCGCGGGCCCG